rnacentral:rRNA from 1 species
GACGAACGCUGGCGGCGUGCUUAACACAUGCAAGUCGAACGGAAAGGCCUGCUUUCCCUUGUGGAUUGCGGGUACUCGAGUGGCGAGCGGGUGAGUAACACGUGAGUGAUCUGCCCCCAACUUGGGUAUAAGCCUGGGAAACUGGGUCUAAUUCCCGAUAGGACUGCAGGGUGGUGCCUGUGGUGGAAAACGAUUUUCUAGUGGUUGGGGAUGAGCUCGCGGCCUAUCAGCUUGUUGGUGGGGUAAUGGCCUACCAAGGCGGCGACGGGUAGCCGGCCUGAGAGGGUGGACGGCCACAUUGGGACUGAGAUACGGCCCAGACUGCUACGGGAGGCAGCAGUGGGGAAUAUUGCACAAUGGGCGGAAGCCUGAUGCAGCGACGCCGCGUGGGGGAUGACGGCCUUCGGGUUGUAAACUCCUUUCGACCGCGAGGAAGCCACCUGGUUGGAAGGGUGGUGACGGUAGUGGUAGAAGAAGCACCGGCUAACUACGUG